UACGUAGGGGGCAAGCGUUGUCCGGAUUUAUUGGGCGUAAAGAGCGUGUAGGCGGCUAUACAGGUCUGCUGUGAAAACUCGAGGCUCAACCUCGAGACGUCGGCGGAAACCAUCUGGCUAGAGUCCGGAAGAGGAGAGUGGAAUUCCUGGUGUAGCGGUGAAAUGCGCAGAUAUCAGGAAGAACACCCGUGGCGAAGGCGGCUCUCUGGGACUGUACUGACGCUGAGACGCGAAAGCGUGGGGAGCGAACAGG
rnacentral:rRNA from 1 species